rnacentral:lncRNA from 1 species
AACAGAUAGCAGCAAGUUUGGUGAAAGAAUGCCGUGGCAAUCUCCUCGCCGUCAUUCUAAUGGCCAGGUCCUUGAAGAAAGUUGUUGAUAAUGUCAACUUGUGGGAACUUGCUUUUAAAAGAUUGACGAUGCUACCUCCAUCUCAGAUAGAAGAUAUAGACAAUGUCCUGAUUAAUGCAUUAGCGUUCAUUUGGGAGCGUAUUAACAAUAAAACAAGACAUUGCAUUAAGCUUUGUACUUGGUAUCCCAAGGGAGAGAAAAUUGACAGAGUCUCACUAAUACAACAUUGGAUCCAAGAUUGUCUGGUAGAUACCUAUGAUGAAGGUACCAACAUUAUCCAAAAUCUUGUUGAUACAUUCCUGCUUAAUAUUGUGGAAUUAAAUCACGUCCAACUGCGAAGAGAGAUCUAUGAUGUAUUAGUAAACCCACUAAUUCUUCAAAUGCAUCCAUUAUAUCUUAUGCUAGGCGGGGCGAGAUUGAUUAAACCACCAGAAGAAGAGGAAUGGGAUGCCAAAGUGAUCCAUUUGAUGGAUAAUAAAUUAUCUGACCUACCAGAAUCUCCAAAGUCACCCUCACUAAUUGCAUUGUACCUUCAGAAUAACUUGGAUCUCAUGGCUAUCCCAUCUUGUUUCUUCAAGCACAUGCCUUUGCUUCAAAUCCUAGACUUAUCACAUACCAGUAUAAAAUCUUUGCCAGAGUCAAUUUCGAGUUUGGUUAACCUUCGAGAACUCCUUUUGAAAGGCUGUGAACUCUUAAUACGACUCCCUAGGCAUGUUGGAGAACUGAAGAAUCUUGAGAAGCUCGACCUUGACGAAACUCAGAUUAUAGAUCUCCCAGCAGAGAUUGGACAUCUUUCCAAAUUAAAAAUUUUGAGGGUCUCAUUCUAUGGAUAUAUGAACUGUAGCAAAACAAGGUUGCGGCAAGAUACAAUAAUUCCCCCUGGAACAAUAUCAGGUCUCUCUGAAUUAACUGAAUUAAGCAUUGAUGUUGAUCCAGAUGAUGAACGCUGGAAUGCUACUGUGAAAGCAAUUAUUGAGGAAGCUUGCGACCUGAAAACUUUAUUACAGCUUAAUUUGUACCUGCCAAACAUCGAAAUAUUGUGGAAACGAAGAACAGGUAGCACAUCAUUGCUCCAUUACCCCUUGCCACGUGUCAGAUUUACUGUUGGUUAUCACAAACAGCAGGUCAUAUCUCGAGUACCAGAAGAAGUAGAAGCUUACUUCAAUAAGGGCGACAAAUGCUUGAAGUUUGUCAAAGGCAAGGAUAUCCCAGCUGAAAUGAGAAUGGCAGUCAACCACAGCACAGCAUUUUUCCUGGAAGGUCAUGCUACAGCUAGGAGUUUGUCGGAUUUUGGAAUUGAAAAUACCAGGCAGCUAAAAUUUUGCUUAUUGACUGAAUGUAAUGAAGUCCAAACCAUCAUUGAUUGUGCAGAGUUUCCUGAAGAGCAGACUGAUGCACUUGGAAACCUACAAGACUUGACUAUAUAUUACCUGAAGAAUUUAGUGAGCAUUUGGAGGGGGCCUGUUCAUAAGCACUGCCUAGCUAGCCUGAAGUUCCUUGCACUUCAUAAAUGCCCCAAAUUGAGUAUCAUUUUCUCGCCAGAUUUGGUUGCUAAUCUUGCCAAUUUAGAAGAGCUCAUUGUUGAACACUGCCCUCAACUGACCAGUCUUGUGAGCCUAAUAGGUCAUGCAUCCAGCAACUCAGCACCACAACCAAAUUGCUUUCUUCCAAGCUUGAAAAGAAUAUCACUGCUUUACGUGCCAAAUCUUGUUAGCAUUUCUAGUGGCUUGUGCAUUGCUCCAGAGCUGGAAAAAGUAGGCUUUUACAAUUGCCCGAAGCUUAAGAGUCUUUCUGCGAUGGAAAUUUCAAGUGAAAAUUUGAAGAUGAUCAAAGGAGAAAGUCGCUGGUGGGAAGCAUUGGAGUGGAAGAACUCAGAGUGGGGGAACCGGCUGGAUUAUCUGCAUAGUAUCUUUUCCCCACUUAUUAAGGAGAGAGAUGUGAAGGCGCAAUUGGCCGAGGAGGGAAUUAUGCACCAAGCUUCAACUUAAACAAGGAGAGAGAUGUGAGGGCGCUGGGCAACAGCCAGGUAAUUUCUUUUAAAUUAAGAAGGUGUCCUUUUAUUUGUCAUCCAAGUAGUACAAGUAAAUAAGCAGAUAAUGGGCUUAAUAAUGGAGGAUGAGCAAUUCACGAAAGGCUAAUAUCUGACUCCCCUAACCCCACACCUCCCCACAACCCACCACCCCCCCCCCCCCCCCCCACAAAAAAAAAAAAAAAAANAAAAAAAAAAAAAGAAAAAAAAGAAUCAACAAAAACAGUAAUAAGAACCACUGGGCACUUCUGUUCUUUUGUUUUUUGUCAGAUUUCUCUAUGUUCUUCAGACUAUACUUCUCAUGAUUUAAGUGAUUAGUCUUGGACAAAACUGUAUUUCCAGGAGUCCAAGAGCUAAAUGUGGAACCAUGACAGUUUACAUUGGUGGCUCGGAUUUUGAAUAAAUUGAAGGUCAAAACCUCACACCAACAUGGAUGAUAGUUUAUUUUGUCUGAGUAGGCAGCUGCAGGCGUAGCUUGCCGAUAGUGUAUGCACCUUUUGUUUUUUCCUGAUAUUAAACCUUUUAUUGGAUUUCUGAGAGAUACAUUUCUAACAUGUAUAUCAUCACGUUAAGGGUUCAAUGCCAGAACAUUGGCGGGUAUUUCAAGAAUUAGUUGUUUGCUAUAAUCCCUGUCAAGUUUUAUUCUGAUUAUGUUGAAAUUGUGAUAAAGAGCUUUUGCAUCAUUUUUUGUCCUCUUGCAAUCUCUGUUCUUUGAAUGAAAAAAACUGAAACUCUGUGAGGAUUUUGAACCAAUUGCUUUAUAAAAUUUCAAGCAUAUUGACGUAUCCUCGAAGCAACCUAGAGUUAAAGCAGCAAAUAAAAAUUUGUUUGGGACCUAGAGUUAAGGCAGUGCAAAUUUUAGGCUUAUGUCCAAAGUUUUUCUUUGUGCUAUAGUAAAAGGUAACUAGUAUGAGGAAUCUACAACAUCAUUCAAACCAAAGCAGUGCAAAUCUUUUGUUGUUCUUAAUUAUUCUCAUUACAGCAAUGCAAACUUGAAUAACCAAAGAAACAUUCACCUGAGGCAACAGAAGGAUUGAAGGUGGUCUCUAACCUCACUGUCUCUCCACUGUAGUGCUUCCCACCGUAUUCGUUCUCCUUCUAUUAAUUUUAGCUCUGUUGCAUUGUGUUCACGGAAGGGUAGUGAUUUCACCUCGGGACAUCCAAAUAUCUUAAGCACCUUUAAAUGGGGCCACGCCGAUGACUCAUCCGCAGAUAUAAUUCUUAAUUUCGGCAUGUCAACCAGUUCCAAAGUCUCUAGAUUUGGAAGCUCAGUCAACUUUUCUAUCUCGAAGCAGCUUUCCAUCACCAAUUUUUUGAGUUUUGAGAGCUGUUGAAUCUCCCCGUUGGAAAAUAUCUUUGUCAACAUUGGACAACUCUUUACUACAAUAGUAUGUAGUUUUGACAAGCUUUUUCCUGAAGUGGGGCCUUAGAAAAUACUCUUCAGAAGGAGCAAAUUCCUUAAAUGUAACUGUUCCAAGAUCGUUAGAAUGUCCAUUUCUCCUUCCUUUUCGGCAUCUAUAAUGCUUGUGAUUUUAUUGCAUCGCUCAAUCAGACAACCCCGAACAUGGUUCUGGCUGGCAGCAUUCAUGAAGUCUGAUAGACAUUUGAUGUUGUUGUGACCGAUCAAUUCCAAUGCAUCAGUUUUAGGAAGGACAUCACGAACUGUAGAAUCAUCAUUGCCAGGAUAGCAGUAUCUCAUAUAUCUAUUUACCUUGUAUUCCAAACAAUCAAGAAUCAGAGGGUUGUUGUUUCUUUCACAGCCAACAAAAAACCAAAAUGAGGUUAAUUGUUCGCGAUCCCUCCAUGAUGGCCUGUUUUUAAUUAACAUUUUGAGGAUCUCUGGUCGUGGAAAGCUUACUCUAACAGUAGUUAAAUUCUUCAAGAAAGCCACCUCCUGAACGACUCUUUUUGCAACAUCAAUGCACCAAUGGCCAUAGGAGGUCACAUCAAUCAUCAGUUCCUCCAAUCUUAGAAGUCUUGAAAUCACCUUGUAAUCAAUUUCCAUAUCAGGAUAGUCUUCUGUAUUGCUGCAUUUAUGGUAUGACAUCCGCAAGCACCUCAGGUAAACUAAUUUUCCAAUAACAGGAGGUAUGAAUAUUAUCUUGCAGCCUCUAAUGUCAAGCACCUCAAGAAAACGAAGUUCUGCAACUUGGGGAGGCAACUUUGUUACGUUGGGGCAAUCAUUUAAGAAAAGUGCCUUAAGUCUAAUCAACUUUGAUACAGACGACGGUAGUGAUGCAAUUCCUGUUUGGUACAAGUCCAAAACAAGGAGCUUCUGCAUGUUCUUAAAAAAUGAUGGUGGAAUUGUGACCAAAUCGGGGUUUUUUUGUAGUAAUAGAGACAAAAGUUUGUUGCAGUUUGGACUUUCUGGCAAGUCAUGCAGUUUUCCUUUAAUCAUAGAGAUCUUUUUUGCCUGUUGCCAAUCUUUCAGCCUGUGGGUAUAAGGUUAAGCUUCACCUUUUGGAGCAAAAAAUUUGCAAUCAGGGUCUUGUGAGGAAAUGUAAAAGGCAAAUUGUCUGACACUAUUGUUCACUUGAACAUAAAUCAUUCUUUCACCUUUCUCUCGCAAUGACACAUUGCCACAUUGGUUAGAUGUCCCAAUAUGUCAUAUCCUUUAUCUCUUGCAUCCCGAAGACUCCUCCCGUCAUCAAUAUUGCCAAGAAGUCCUUCAGCCGCCCAACACUCCAGUAAAUAAUCUGUAUAUAUCUUGCUAUCAGCUGGAUAUAAUGCACCAUACAGAAAGCAUUUCUUUUUCUUCUCAUCCUUCAGCUCGUCAUAACAAAACUUGAGUGCUGCAUACAUUUUUGUUAAACCUGGGAUCUCAAUUUUUGGCCAUUUUUCAAGUUCGCUCAAUCCAUUUCUCCAUUCAGAAUCACUGUCCUUUAAUUUGAAGGAACUUGCCACUGUUCUGAUCACAAGUGGGAGUCGAUCACACUCAUCAACUACCAGCCGAGCAACUGGUUCAACAUCAGGGAGAUCGAUUUUCUCAACUGCUAUCUGUUGAAACAUUCUCCAUGCCUCAUCUGAAGAUAAUUUAUCCAUUUUGACCAUUCUAUCUGUCAUUGGCGAACAAACAUGACGAAAUUCAGUAGUCAAUACCACUUUGCUACCAUUACCAUAUCUGAGAUUCCAAUCUGCUGCAAAUCAAUGGAGUCCAUGACCUCAUUCAGAAGCAGCAAAUACUUCUUAUGCUUCAUAUAUUCUGAUAUGAUCCUCGCAAGUUCACCAGAGCACGUAGCACGUUCCGCCUUCAGUUUAAGUCGCUGUGCAAUGUUCAGUUGCAGUUUCUCAUCAUUCCUCUCCCUUGAAACAUUUAUCCAAAUGACUACAUCAAACAUUUUGGCAACUUCUUCAUGGUUAUUCAAGUUCUUCAGUAUUGUUGUUUUCCCAACUCCCUCUGUGCCAAAAAUUUCGAUUUCUUUUAGUUUAUCGCUUCUUAGCAACUCUAGUAUUUCUUGUAAUGAUCUUUGAAGGGUGGCAAAUCCUUCAAGGUCUGGUGCAUUCAACUUCACAGUUUUUUCUGGAGGCUUCUCUACCAAAAAUCCUCUUUUAAAUGCUCCCUCUUUCACAAGUUUCUCAACUUUCUUGCACAUAGUAAUGACCUUGUCACUAUAAUUUUUUUUUUUAAGAUUAAAAGUAUUUCCAUUAAAUCAGGGUGAAAUCCCCGAUGUACACAAAAUGGAAAGGACUAGGAGAGACUUGGUCCAGGUGCCCUUCCUGAAGCUUGGCAUACAAAAAAGCCAGCUGAAAACAAAAUGCUAUACAACUACAAAAUUUGAUAUAAGCAAGACUCAAAGAAGUUACAGCCACCCUUAACAGCCAAAAAGGGCGAAGGGAGAGCAAGAGUGAGAAACAUGGCCAUUUUGGAUGUUUCUCCCUCUUGCAAAUCCAUACUCAAGCAAAACAACCCAAAAAGCUAUUGGCCUUAUUAUGCAAAAAGUGAUCUGCACCAGCAACAUAGCAGUAAACACAGUCAAAAGCAUGCCCAAUCACUCAAGCAGUUAUGGAAACACACAUAGCAGAUCAUGUCACUAUAAUCUGACAGCCACAUAGAAAGUGAGGACCCUUCCGUUUCAUACUCAGCUUGUAAAUUUUCCACUUUCUUUUAGAGUCUUCACAACUUCAGUAGGCCACGUGUUGUAGCUUAUGGAAGUUGUUUUUGUUCCGUAUUGUUCCACUGUCCUCUCAUUGUCGUUCCUUUUUGCCUUGAGCUUUGCUGCAGCAGUUUUCAACAUGCUGAUAUUAUCAUUAUGCUAUUCCAUGAACUACGCUUCCCCACAGCGUAGUCCAAAACUCCUUUUACCCCAUCUUUUACCAAAUCAUUUAGCAAUUCAGCCAUUAUAACUUCGACGCUGCAACUGGCAUUCAAAUUAAAAAAAAAUCAGAUUUUUUUGUAAUUGUAACCAAAUCAGAUGUCUGCUUAUAUUUAAACUGUUUGGAGGGAAAAAAUAUACAAGUCAGAUUCUGUAAUUUGUUCUUUUCUUAUUUUUUCGUAUUUGUUUAAUUGCUAGUCCAGUUAAAAUAAUGGAUACCAACUGUUUGAAGAAAGUUCUGCAGAUAAUGGGUCUGUCUAUUCUCUUAUUUUUUUUUAUCUUUGUAACAAGAUGUUGUUUCCUUUUCUUUUGGAUAAAUAAAACUUUUACUUAGAAAAAAAAAAAUCAAGUGCAAGCUCAACACCAGCAAUUGUUAAACUCCAAAUAAGCUGAUCAUCUCACCAUAACUUGCCAAUCUACCUUUCUCAAUGCACUAAGACGUUGUGAAGACAUCAAUCCCACUAAGGUAAAUAAUAGUUAAAAUCUCAUUUAUUUUCUGAAAAAGAAAAUAAACACUUCUGUUUAUUUAAAAUUUUUUUUUUAUUAAUUCUCAACUUAGAUGUGUCUAAUAAUUAACUUAAUAGGAUUUUAUAUAACUAUUCGUAAGGAAGAGAGCUUUUUACUUUUUUUAUGUAAGAUUAUUAUAUUUUUUAAAUAAAUUAAAUAAGAAAGUAAUUUAAUUUAAACUUAUUUAUAAUACAAAUAAAGUAAAAGAUAAUUAAAAAAAGAUAAUAAUAGAAAUAAUCUUUCAUAACUUAACACGCAAGUAACUUAAUAUCAUAGUUAUAUGUUUAGUAUAUUUAGUUGAAUGUUACAGUAAAAUAGUUGAAUGAAAUAUUCAAUUCAAUCUUUGUAUAUUUAGUAGCAAAAAUACUUUCUUUUUAGGAAUCAAUUUCUGUAGUUUCAUGUUUUAUGGAAUUUUGCCAUUUCAUUUCCUUUUGCUUUUUGCCUCAAAUUAUGUCAAAAUCAAAGAGGACAAAAUUUUGAUUUGGAGAGAGUCGAGGAUUAUAUCUGGUUGGAAUUUACAUCAAUUUGAUAGUUUGGGGGCGAGCUUGCUUAUACCUGUACGACUAGGAAAAGCAUCAAUAGCACCUGUUAAAAACUAAAAUCAAACACAAAGUCCAACAAUAUGUCCUUGGCUAAAAAAAUAUUGAGGAAUCUCCAAAUCCAACAGCUGUUAACACUACGAAGCUACAACAUCCACUCAAACUAAAGCAGUUAAAAUCUUAUGUUGUUCUUAAUUGUUAUCAUUACAACAGUGCAAACUAGAAUAACCAGAAGAAACAUUCACCUGAGGCUGCAGAAGGAUUGAAGGUGGGUUUCUAACCUCACUGUCUUGCCACUACAAUGCUUCCCACCAUAUUUGUUCUCCUUCUAUUAAUUUUAGCUCUGUUGCAUUGUUUUUACUGAAAGGUAGUGAUUUCACCUUGGGACAUCCAAAUAUCUUAAGCACCUUUAACUGGGGCCAUGCCAAUCACUCAUCCGCAGAUAUAGUUCUUAAUUUCGGCAUGUCAACCAGUUCCAAAAUCUCUAGACUUGGAAGCUCAAUCAACUUUUCUAUCUAGAAGCAACUUUCCAUUACCAAUUUUUUGAGUUUUGAGAGCUGUUGAAUCACCCCAUUGGAAAAUAGCUUUGUCAACAUUGGACAAUACUUCACUACAAUAGGAUGUAGUUUUGACAAGCUUUUUCCUGAAAUGGGGCCUUCGAAAAUACUAUUCAGAAGGAGCAAAUUCCUUAAAUGUAACUGUUCCAAGAUCGGUAGAAUGUCUAUUUCUCCUUCCCUUUCGGCAUCUAUAAUACUUGUGAUUUUAUCGCAUCUCUCAAUCAGACAACUGCGAACAUGGUUCAGGCUGGCAACAUUCAUGAAGUCUGAUAGACAUUUGAUGUUGUUGUGACCGAUCAAUUCCAAUGCAUCAGUUUUAGGAAGGACAUCAUGAACUGUAGAAUCAUCAUUGCCAGUAUAGCAGUAUCGCAUAUAUCUAUUUACCUUGUAUUCCAAACAGUCAAGAAUCAGAGGGUUGUUUUCGCUUUCACAGCCAACAAAAAACCAAAAUGAGGUUAAUUGUUCGUGAUCCCUCCAUGAUGGCCUGUUUUAAUUUCUGAAGUGAUCAGGCUAAGAUUUUGCAGCCAAAAUACUCCUGUUUCUUUUUAGAAAAAUUGAUUGAUUUCUUUAUGUAAUGGUUCUGUCUAUUCUCCUAUUUUUGUAUCUUUGUAACAGGAUUUUUUCCUUUUCUUUUGGAUAAAUAACACUUUUUACUUCAAAAAAAAAAAAAAAAAAACAGCUGCGUGCUGAACACCGGGAAUUGUUAAACUCCAAAUAAGCUGAUCAUCUCAUCAUAACUUGCCAAUCUACCUUUCUCAAUGCACCAUUCAAUGCUAACUACAUUAUCUAGAGGAGGGUUCAAAGCUUCAUGCAUAAACCCGAAAUCUUACCAAGAAAAGGGAAGUAGAAAUGGCUCUCCAGAUUCAUUCCAACCCUCACAAUCCAAUUAUAUUUGUUCCAACAUUUGAAAACACAUAUAUCAAAUUUUUAACCUUUUAUUUGCUGUCGACUUCAAGUCAUGAAAAGAGCUUCAUGCAACAAUCUGUGGGCCUAUACUCUUAUGUGUUUUUUGUGUCUUGUUUCUGGUGGGGUGUUGUGCUGGUUGUAAAAGGGUCUGUUAUGAACUGGGUCUUUGGGGAGCUCUGCUUGUAUCUGGGCAGGGGAGAAACAGGGUUAUUUUUCUGUUUCAAGAUUCUGAGUAUACAGGGUGUGGAUGUUGUAAGGAAGAAAUAUCUGUUGUGUUCCUUGGGUUGCUGUGAGCAGACAAGGAGAAGAGGGACUCCCCUCAUCUAGAGGGGAGGUUCUUCCCUUGACUCUUUUUGUAAUUAAUAAAAUUCAAUGGGUUUACUUGAGAGUUUCAAACUAGUUGAACGAAAGAAGAAAAAUCUAGCUAAGGUUCAAAGAUCAAAACACAAUCAAUCAACUUUGAUUGAAACGACAAAUACAUAAACUACUUGGUCUUGUACUGUCCCGAAGCAUUCUCAAAAGCAGCCGACAAAGAUCUAUGUUUCAAACUAUAUUUUGAUGAAUUGUGUAAUCUACUAACAGAAAACUUACAUAUGUCUACUCGCAGAUGAUGGACCGUUGACUCAGGAGAUGCAAGAGAUUUUUUGGCUCUAAUCUGGAAUGCCCAUACACCACUUGAAUCUCAUGACUCACUUUUCAUGUCUUUGUAAAUAGAUAGAUUAUUAUCUUUGCUAUAUAUAAUGAAAGAACUUGUUAUUACAUAUUCUUAAAUGUUAUCUUGUGAUCAACAAUUGUAUGCCAUGAAAUUGAAAAUGACACUACUGUCCAAAAUGAUGUAGCCAAAGUCUGGCUCUAAAAUGUCAUUUGUGAUUUGCCUUGGCAAGUGUAUUUUUUUUUAAAAAGAGAGAAUUUAAAUUCUACUUUUGUUUCUUCGAUGAUUAAAAUAUUGGGUAGAAAACCGUGAAUGAUUAAAGUAUGGACAAGUGACAAUGGCGUGCGGACAAAAGUUUGGUUUUCCCUAGUUCAAAGAACAUAUGGGCGCGUAUGCAACUUGCUCUUCAUUGUUUAAUUUGACUAAAUUCAUGGAGCAGAUCUUGGGAGUGAGCGGGCGGCUCUCGCUUCUUCUCACAUGAAGUUUGAAAGCUUUUAACAAGCCUACCGGAGUGUGGAGAGUCCAUGGCAGAUAGGCUAUGAAUGAGAUGGGAAUUAACCAUGGGGGGUUGAUGCUCAGCAUUUAACAGGUUGGUACCCGAAUCCCCUACAUAUGCAAGCCAGAUUGGUCCUUUUUGUUGGAUGAAUCAUCCUCCCAGGGAUUAGAUUUUUAUAUUUGAGACGUAAUUUUUAUGCAAAGAAGACUAAUAAGAUUUAAUUACACAGGUGGAGCACUUGAUUUCCCUAGUUUUACUACAUUUGGAAGCUCUCGUCCUCCAUUCAUUGAUUACUAGUGAAUUGUUAACCGGCAUUAGGGAAGUAAAAACCAUCUGCCGAACUCAUAUCAAGGUAUAGCUGGACACAGUAAGAGUACCAUUUCAAGUUUAACUGAGCCUGGAAAUUGUUAACUCUGAGCGUUCAACUAUAAAUUGGAUACGACAAACUUGUCCUGCUAAUUCUUUCAUUUUCCAACCCUUACGGACUUUUUAUUUUAAUUUGAUAACUUAUUCUCGAUUCCUGGUGCAAAUUACUACAUGCUUUCAGCUUCGAGUUCACUAAUUUUCUAUUCUUAGAUGCCAAUGUCCUGCUACUUUUUGGCUUGUAUUCAAUCACACUUGCUGGACGAAACAUUAUCUCCUAUUGUCGAGAUUUUAUGGUAGUACAUCUAAUUCUUUCUUUCUUUUUUUCCAAUAGAGACAUGGAGAGCUGGGAACGUAAGAAUGUUAGAAAUGAACUAAGACAAGGGAGGAAGCUAGCAAAGCAGCUCCAAGCAAAUCUCAAACGGUCAUCUUCCGAAGAAAAUCCUGAGUUAGUCCAAAAGAUCGUAUCGUCCUUUGAAAAGGCACUUUCAAUGCUUAACUGCAGCACCUCCUCUAUGGCAGCCAAGCUGCAGCCCAUAGCUCACAGCUCGCUUGCUCGUGAUGGAAGUCACCAGAGUAAGGACCCUGACCAUGAUAUCAAGGAGCAAGACUUCAAAGUUAAAGAUUUCUUCAUGAAAAGGUACAUGUAGACAUAUGGGAAAUUUAUGAUGACAUAAAAUGGAAACCUAAACCAAUUUAUGCUUAAUUGCAGAGAAGUAACUGAGUCACAGCCUAAAGGACUUGCAACUGAAAUGUUUAAAUUCCCGCCUCCUUUCAGUGGAAGCUUCUCAAGUGCGGGAAAUUUGGAAGCCUUUGACGGGUAUGUAUCCUCUCCUUUUUAUGAAAGCUUCCUCGAUACGGACUCUGACAAUGGAUUCAAGGAGCAGGGGUUCAAAGUCAACUACGAUGUCAAUAAAAGCUAUUUUCUCUGUCUCUUUUUUUUAUCUAAUUUUUCAAAUGUUAUAUAAUAUUAUUUAUAUUCUUAAUUUAUUUUUCGUAAUUUUUUUAUUUUUUAUAUUAAAAAAUAUUAAAUAUUUAUUUUAUAAUUUUUUAAAAUUUAAUAUAAAAUAUUUGAAAAUCAAAACUUUAAUUUUAAUUUUCAUGAAAAGAGUACUUGGAAAGAGUACUUAAGAUGAUCUAUAAAGGGGAAAACUAAACCAAUUUAUGCUUGAGUGCAGUAAGGCAGCCGAAUUAAAGCCAACAAUAAUUGGGACCGAAUUUGACCAUGAUUUCAUGGAGGAGCAUGAGCUCAAAGUCAAUGAAACCUUCAAUAAAAGGUAUACUAUAUAUAUAUAUUUCUGGGUAAUUUGUGAUGAUAAUUAAAGGGAAAUCUGAACCAAUAAUUUAUGGUCAAUGAAAUAGUUGCAGUGUGAAAGAUGAGUCAAAGCCUGCAGGACAUGCAAAAGUAAUGUUUAAGUCCUUGUCUGACUAUAACUUGGAGAAGAAAAAGCACACCGUCGGCGAUGCUUCCAAGAAAAGGUAUGUAUAACAGGAAUAUGGGCAAGUUAUGAUGAUAUAAAAGGGGAAACUAAACGGAUUUUCUGCUGAACUAUAGUGCUGCAGGUGAGUCACAACCCACAGAAGUUGAGUUUAAAAAGCCCAAAUCCUCGCAUUCUCUUGGCGAAAGCCUCCCAAGUAAGGACUCUGACUAUAAUUUCAAGGAGCAGGAGCUCAAAAUCAAUGAGGGCUCCGGCAAAAGGUAUAUAUAAGAGCAUAUGAGCAAUUUAUCAUAAUACAUUGCCAACUAAUCCAAAAAAUUAAAAAAAAGAAUUUACAUUGAAAAAAGAAGGCCUCAAUUAAUGUUAUAUCUUUAAUUGGUUUGAACAAAACAUUUCCAUGUUGCAGGAACGCUAGGCGGAGCUGGACAGUAUUGGUUCACUCUGAUAUGGUCCUAGGGGAACUUCCUUCUGAUGGUUGCAAUUGGAGGAAAUAUGGACAGAAGGAUAUUCUUAAUGCAAGAUUUCCAAGGUAGAGACAUUUUCCUCUUUUAGUGCAUAUUAUUAAAAACAAGAUGCAAUUGAUGCGUUAAUUAAGGCUCAGAUCGCUCCGUUUAGAUGUUAUUUUUUCUGCUUUUUUUUUUCUUGAUAAAGCCAUUAAGUGUCUGUUUAUUUAGGGUUAUAGGUUAAUCAGUUUAUUCUUUUUAGAGUUAAAGUUCACACUUUCCUUUUUUGGUAUAUGGAGAAGAUAUUUCUUCCUUCCUUAUCAUGUCUUUCUUGAAGCCAUUUUCGUAUAUCCCUUCAGAAUGCAUUGCUUUAGAGUGACACUUGAGACCUUCAGUAAAAAAAAAAAAAUUGCUGAAACAUUAUCACAUAGAAUCAAUGUAGGCCAAAAACCAACUCUAUGUGGACAGCUUAAACUGGACUUUUACUCCUCUGCAGUUCCAUUAUUAUCUGUUCCGAACAAAAGAUGUUUUAUCGGUAUGAGCAUUCUUGACUGCACGCUAGUGCAGGACCUUGGUGCCUAACCAAUGGCAUGAUUUAAUAUUUUUUUUUCUGGACUUAAUGUAGAAUAACUGUUCUAGACAAUUGUGGAUAUUUGAUAAUAACUCCCAUUUCCUAAAGAGCUAGCGUCCCAAAGACAUGCCAUGUACAUGUAUUUCAUAUAUCCUAUUUGUGAUGAAACAAAUUUAAAAAUUCACUGAGCUUUAAACUUGAAAUAACCUUUCUUUUCUUUCUUACAGAGAAUACUACAGGUGCGCACAUCGACACACUCAAGGCUGUUUUGCUACAAAGGAAGUCCAAAGAGAGGAUGAAGAUCCAAUGUUCAUCACUGCUACUUACAAAGGAAUGCACACUUGCACACUAGCCCCAGAUUUGAUGCCUCCAGGACCACCUGAGAUACUAGCUGUACAGAACCUACUCUUUAUCACGUUCCAUUUAGAUUAAGGUCUUUCUUAUAGAUAGAAUAAAUUAAUUUAGAUUCUGAUAUUCUAGUGAAAUAAGUACUUUUCAUGUAUAUUUGCAGCCUUUGGAUACUGUACUUGGCGCCGAUGGAAAUGACAAAAAGGAUUCACAAUCUAAUCUUCAGUCAAGUGUACACAGUCCUGACAAUCAAACUUGCAUUUCGUCAACCAAGCUAACAAGUGAGCUUCCAAAUUUAGGGCUCAACCUGAAUGUGUUUCCUGAGAAAUCAUUUAAGUCAUAUCCAACGUGGAAAAACUUUUAUGAAAAUGAAGUGAGGAAGAAUUGGAAAGUGCUGAACAGGAAGAAGGAUGUGCUACUCUUACUUUCAUCUUAUCCUAUGAUUAUGAUUGACAAAUCUGACACAGAUAAAUGGAUUAUUGAUGUAUUGGCAACCAUGAGACAUGUGAAAUCAACAGAAAAGAUUUUAUUUGGUGUAGGGGUAGCGAAACAUUGGCCAGGAAUGACUACGCUGCAGGAACUUUCUGGACGCUUGCAGAAGUUGCUGGAUGUUCCCUUGAUGAAUGAUAUUGAGGGAGUUUUACCGGUAGACUUGGUUGAGAACCUAUAUAGGACUACAGAAGCUGAUUUAAGACCCCUGUUGGAAGUGGAACAGAAUAUAAUUAGCGGAAAGACAUCAAAAUCUAGAGGUUCAGCAAGUAACAGUGAAGGGGCAGCAAUGGAAGCAGAAAAAGAAUUGCAGCCAAUGCCUGCAAAAUGUAAAACUCUGGUAGAAGAUACUGAGUUGCCAGCAAAAGGAACACUGAAUGUACCAGAAGAAAUAUUUGACUUGGCAAUUUAUUUAGCUGUUCGUCAGAUCUUAAAAUGUAUAAACAGGGGAUAUAUCUGGUGUAUUACUAUCAGUGGAAGAGAUAAGAAAAGGGUGCUAGGAGCAGUAAAGCAACACCAAGAUAUAGUUUCCGAGUUUGGAUAUAUCAUUGUAUUCACUGUGUCAGAAGAUCAAAGUGGGGCAAAUGUUCACGGUGUCUUUCAACUGCAGAAGGGUUUUUGGCUAGGUGGAUGCUUUGAUUCUGUUGACCUUACACAUGAAUAUUUUGACAACUUGUGCUCCCCAGGAAUCUUAUUGCUUACAGAGGAUGAUUACGAUAAGAACAUGAACUUGGAUCAGUCUACACUCCCACUUUUGAUAAACCUUAACAAGUUGGUUGACCAUAAACAUAGCGAUUCAAGGUUCAUAAUCUUUACUUCUAAAAUGGCAACAGACAUGGAGAUAAGAAUGGAGGAUCAUUUGUUGUCAUGGAAAUUGUUUUGUAGGAUUGUGGGUGAAGGUUUGCUUUCUCCUAGUAUCCAACAGAUAGCAGCAAGUUUGGUGAAAGAAUACCGUGGCAAUCUACUCGCCAUCAUUCUAACGGCCAGGUCCUUGGAGAAAGUUACUGAUGAUGUCAACUUGUGGGAACUUGCUGUUAAAAGAUUGACCAUGCUACCUCCAUCUCAAAUAGAAGAUAUAGACAAUGUCCUGAUUAAUGCAUUAACAUUCAUUUGGGAACGUAUGAACAAUAAAACAAGACAUUGCAUUAAG